rnacentral:rRNA from 1 species
UACGUAGGGUGCAAGCGUUAAUCGGAAUUACUGGGCGUAAAGCGUGCGCAGGCGGCUUUGCAAGACAGAUGUGAAAUCCCCGGGCUUAGCCUGGGAACUGCAUUUGUGACUGCAUGGCUGGAGUGCGGCAGAGGGGGAUGGAAUUCCGCGUGUAGCAGUGAAAUGCGUAGAUAUGCGGAGGAACACCGAUGGCGAAGGCAAUCCCCUGGGCCUGCACUGACGCUCAUGCACGAAAGCGUGGGGAGCAAACAGG